GGCGCCGGCGGAGAAGUUUGCCUUCGGAGGGGAUGGGGAGUGCCGAACCGCUCCACCAUAGGGGACCCUCGGCGCCCUGGGCUUCCAGCAGUCGGCCCGGUGUGCCGGGCGGAGAACAGCGAGAGGCUGGUGGGGAGAGCUCGGCCGGGCAGCGCUCUUUCCCCUGGCCCCGGGCUGAGUGGCGCUGGGCAGCCGAGUUUACAAACACGGGCCCGGGAAGGGUAGCUAAUUCCGGCUGCCAGUGGGGAAAUGUCUAGUGCCUGUGGCAGGUGCCCUUUUCCUUCGGUCUGGGGCUGCUUGCUGUGUGGCCAGGGACAAGUGACUUGACCUCUCUGGCUUUCGCACCGUUCAGAGGCAGAUAAUCUCUAGGGCCGCUACUCGCAGAGUGGUCCAGGGAUUUACAGCAUCGGCAUGGUCUGGGACCUGUUAGAAAUGCAGAAUCUCAGGCUCUGCUAAAAUAGAACCUGCCUUUUAACGAGAUGCCCGGGUGGUUACAAAACGUGUUAAAGUUUGAGAAGCGCCGGUCUAGAGCCUCUUCAGGCCCGAGAGCCGGUGCAUGUGGGCUGUCCUGGGGGUAGGUGGGAGGGGCCGACGAGGGAGGAGAUCUGCAGCCUUCUGCUGCUCUUCCCGCCCUUCCUGUCCCUCCCUCAAGGGGCCUGGAGCUGGGUUAGGGCCCAGGGGACUGCUCUCUGCUCAGGUUUCUUGCAGUGGGACCAGCUGCCCCUUGGGGUCUGACAAGCCCAGAAGGUCAGAGCCUGGAGCCAGAGGACAACCUCCUCAGGGGACAACCUGAGGCCCAGAGUGGGAAGGGAGGACCCUGGAGACUGUUUUUUCUACUUUUGCCUGCCCUCCAGUCAGGCCGGAAUAGGUGGUACCAUAAACUUGAUGAUCAGUCCCCUGGAGACCCUGAGAGACCCCAAACGGUGACAAUAUUUAGUAGUUUUUCACUGAACUUGAAUCUCUCUCUGCUUCCGCUUUGCUUGUGCUGCCUGUGGGAAUUCACUACUGUCCCCACCCUGGAUGAUUCUAUUCCCCACCCUGUGCCUAGUCCAGCGGGAUGAGUUUUGGUCCCAAGUACAAUGUCUCCCCUGCUUUCCUUGUUUCUCCUUUAUUCUCACUUCAGAAAACCUCACCAAGCCCUGACCCCUCAUGUCUUCCUGGCUCCACAGGGAAACUGAGGCUGACUUCCAUCAGCAGAAUCAGAGGGUUGGCUGACAGGGAGGACGGGGCCAUCAACCUGAGCCUGGCCUGUGACUUGGAAUGGAGCUGUUGACAGGGGGACAUCCAUCCUGGGUUUAAGUGCUGGCUCUGCCGCAAACACGCUGUGUGACCCCCAGCAAGCCCUUACGACUCUCUGGGCCCCAGUUUCUCCCUCUGUGUGGAGAGGGAGGGAGAUGAGCAGGACGAUGUCUAAGGGUCCGAGAAUCUGUGUUCUCUGACCUGAGUCAACCUCUCAGUCUGCAAAGUGGGCCAAGGGUGAGUUCCAUCUGCGCAGAGGCAGGAGGAGACUGGAGGAGGAGCCCUGUUCCAGGCCUGACCCUUCCACAGGCUGGAAGAGGAGACCACAGUGAGCGUGGGUUCCCUUGCCUCCUGGCCCUUCGGAGAGCCUUAGAAGCUGUCCCCGUCUGUCCGUGGCACAGCAUGAACUGGACCCCCUGUCCCAAGCUGUGAAGGGCAAGUAAAGUCGGCACAGACGAUCCAACUGGGAAAGGGCUUGGGUACCACCUGGGCUGAUGUGCCCAAUGUACAGAUGUACAGAUGGGAGGUUAAGGCCUGGAGAAGGGAAAGGUCAUGACUGAUGUCACAGAGCAACUUAGAGCUGAAGCCGGGUAUCCAGUCCCCUAAUCUGGUGUUCUUUGUCUUCACCCCUGCUCUGUGCUUCCACCGGCUUCUUGUUGAUUCCAAAGCUCUUUGGCAUUAAAGCCUUUACCCUGUUGCCUCAGAGCAGCCUGGCAUGUCUUCCCUGCCCCAGCACUGCCAGGCCCCUGCCCCUGCGUGGCAGGAGUUACAAGCUGGUUUUGUUUAAAGUUCAUGCCUGUUUCCAUCCCUCCAGGCUGGGCUCCUGGCCAAUGUCUCAUCCAGGUGCCAACCCCUGGAGGGCCUGAGCUACCGAGCCCAUCCCCAACAGGCUGGGGGAGUGGGGGACUCGAAGGAUGGGAUGCACAAAAACGAGCUCAGACUGGAGAGGGUCAGGUCACGACAACAAUGACUCACCCUGAGUGACGGUUAACAGGGUACUUUCACAUCCUGCUGACCUCACAAGAGCCCUGGAAGCUAGGCUGAGCUGCUGAACCUUCCCCACUUUGCAGGGAGAAGGAUGAGCGAUGGGACAGAAGCAGAGAUUGGAAGGGUGCAUCUACCGGCCACGGAACGCCAAAGACUGCUGGCAACACCAGAAGCUAGGAGAGAGGGACGAAACAGCUCCUCCCUCAGAAGCUCCAGAAGGAACCAAACUAGCUGCUAACUUGAUUUUGGACUUCUAGCCUCCAGAACUGUGACAGAAUAAAUUUCUGUUUUAAGUCAC